ensembl:lncRNA
GGUGACUCCCUCCCUCCCUCUUGGUGAUCUACCAUAGGUGACUCCCUCCCUCCCUCUAGGUGAUCUACCAUAGGUGACUUCCUCCCUCCCUCUAGGUGAUCUACCAUAGGUGACUCCCUCCCUCCCUCUAGGUGAUCUACCGUAGGUGACUUCCUCCCUCCCUCUAGGUGAUCUACCAUAGUAUAGUACGGGGUUAAGGGUGUAUUGAUGGUACAGGGUUAAGGGUAUAUUGAUGGUACAGGGCUAAGGGUGUAUUGAUGGUUAAGGGUGUAUUGAUGGUACAGGGUUAAGGGUGUAUUGAUGGUACAGGGUUAAGGGUGUAUUGAUGGUUAAGGGUGUAUUGAUGGUACAGGGUUAAGGGUGUAUUGAUGGUUAAGGGUGUAUUGAUGGUACAGGGUUAAUGGUGUAUUGAUUUUGUAGAGCGGUCUGAUGGUUCCAGGUGUUUGUUCAAAGUCUUGUCGGCCAUCUUGUGUCUGAGAUCCAUUAGUGUCCUGCGGUUUCUCUAAUCCUCAUUCACAUGUAAUGGCGCAGAUAGCAUGUGAAUGGACAGCCACAAACUGCAGAGCCGGCCGUUAGCACACACGCUAAUGAACCCUCACUUUGCAUAGGUAUUAAUAUGGCUAGCACUAGGCUUUAACACCACAAAAUGAUGAAAAAGUCAAGGGGUGUGAAAACUUUCUGAAGGCACAUGUGGGGGGUGGGGGCUUCCUGUCAGCAUCACCUACUACAUAUGGUGUCAAUAGAAGGAACAGUCGGGGGCAGGGCAGGCUGAUGGCAGUAUAAGAGGCAGAGGGGUGGAGGGAGCUUUGUCACUUUGCUCUCAUUCACAGAGACAAUCACUCUCUGGACAAACACCCACGACGGACACACACACUGAAGACACACAUUCAUUAACUGAGAAGAGAUCCUGAGAGGGACCCACAGCACCACAGCAUCCUGCCCAGAGAGAGAGAGACUGAUUCCUGGGUAAAGAGAGGAGCUCCAGACCCUUCCUAUCCUGAGAGGGACCCACAGCACCACAGCAUCCUGCCCAGAGAGAGAAAGACUGAUUCCUGGGUAGAGAGAGGAGCUCCAGACCCUUCCUAUCCAGCCAUGAGGAUCAUCAGCCUACUGUACCUGCUGCUGCUAGUAACUGUUCUAGGAUCCGUUUCUGCAUUGAGACCAGGUAGGACAACACAAAGACAUU